GAUGAACGCUGGCGGCGUGCUUAAUACAUGCAAGUCGAGCGAACAGAUCAGGCGCUUGCUCCUUUGUCGUUAGCGGCGGACGGGUGAGUAACACGUGGAUAAUCUACCUAUAUGUCUGGGAUAACCUCGGGACACCGGAGAUUAUCCCGGAUAAUCUCUUGAACCGCAUGGGUCAAUAGUGAAAGACGGUUUUGCUGUCUCUUAUAGAUGGAUCUGGGCCGCAUUAGCUAGUUGGUAGGGUCACGGGUUACCAAGGCUAGGAUGCGUGGCCGAGCUGAGAGAGUGGUCGGCCACACGGGAACGGAGACGCGGUCCAGACGCCUGCGGGAGGCAGCAGAAUGGAAUCUGCCGCAAUAGGCGAAAACUUUACGGAGCAACGCCGCGUGAGUGAUAAAGGUGUUCGGAGCGUAAAACCGUGUUAUGGGUUAUAAACAGAUGUCGAAGGAGCUAAGCACGGCUUGACGGUACCGAAUCAGAAAGCCCCGGCUAACUACGUG
rnacentral:rRNA from 1 species